rnacentral:rRNA from 1 species
UACAGAGGUCCCGAGCGUUGUUCGGAUUCACUGGGCGUAAAGGGUGCGUAGGCGGUUCUGAAAGUCUGAUGUGAAAUCUCCAGGCCCAACCUGGAAACGGCAUUAGAAACUACAGGGCUAGAGGCUUGGAGGGGAACUGGAAUGCUCGGUGUAGCAGUGAAAUGCGUAGAGAUCGAGCGGAACACCAGUGGCGAAGGCGAGUUCCUGGACAAGUCCUGACGCUGAGGCACGAAAGCCAGGGAGCAAACAGG